CAUGCAUUUUCUGUGGCAACAAGUGGCGUCUGCUAGGGCUAAUGUUGGUGUUCUUUGGCAGCGGCUUUGCAGCCCCCUUUAUUAUUGUCAGACAUCAACUCCUGAAGAACUAAAAUGGACCAGUGGUGUCCUCCUUUUUGAGGUCUCCAGCAGGAUUUCAUUUAUCAGCCACAGUUCUACCUGUGCAGAAGAAUGGGGAAUCUCAUGUCUUUGUAAAUAAAGCCAUGUCAAAUCU